AGUGGGGAAUAUUGCACAAUGGGCGAAAGCCUGAUGCAGCGACGCCGCGUGGGGGAUGACGGCCUUCGGGUUGUAAACCCCUUUCAGUAGGGAAGAAGCGAGAGUGACGGUACCUGCAGAAGAAGCGCCGGCUAACUACGUGCCAGCAGCCGCGGUAAUACGUAGGGCGCAAGCGUUGUCCGGAAUUAUUGGGCGUAAAGAGCUUGUAGGUGGCUUGUCGCGUCUGCCGUGAAAACCCGAGGCUCAACCUCGGGCGUGCGGUGGGUACGGGCAGGCUAGAGUGUGGUAGGGGAGACUGGAACUCCUGGUGUAGCGGUGAAAUGCGCAGAUAUCAGGAAGAACACCGAUGGCGAAGGCAGGUCUCUGGGCCAUUACUGACACUGAGAAGCGAAAGCAUGGGUAGCGAA
rnacentral:rRNA from 1 species